rnacentral:rRNA from 1 species
GAUGAACGCUGGCGGCGUGCCUAAUACAUGCAAGUCGAGCGAAGCGGGGACGGGUGAGUAAAACGUGGAUAUACUCCCAUAAGACUGGGAUAACUCCGGGAAACAGGAGCUAUACAGGAUACCUAUGGGUAGAUCCGAGCUGCAUUAGCUAGUUGGGAAGGUAAAGGCUUACCAAGGCAACGAUGCAUAGCCGACCUGAGAGGGUGAUCGGCCACACUGGAACUGAGCCACGGUCCAGACUCCUACGGGAGGCAGCAGUAGGGAAUCUUCCGCAAUGGGCGAAAGCCUGACGGAGCAACGCCGCGUGAGUGAUGAAGGUCUUCGGAUCGUAAAGCUCUGUUAUUAGGGAAGCGGGACCUAAUCAGAAAGCCACGGGUAACUUCGGGCCAGCAGCCGGGGUAAUUC